UUGAUGAAAAGUAAAUAAUUGUUUUUCAGGUCAUUCUCUAAAUGAUCUUUUAUUUGUCUAGACUUCCACAUCCAAGUGAAUGUGCCCUUUACUAUGUCAACCGAGAUAUACUUUUCUAAUAUCACAAGGAGAGUGAGAUAUGUUUAUAGGUUUGUCUCUCCAUUGUGGAAUUCAAUGAUAUUUUUUCUCCUCAUAGAGAGAAGACUACACUUGAGCAUGAGCCUAGCUUGUGGUUGCUGCAGUUGGCUUCAAGGCAAGAAGGCCUGAGAUCCCAAGUACUGUAAAUAGACAUGUGGCUGCCAUAAUUGAGUCCUGUUGGGCCAGCGAGCCAUGGAAAAGGCCUUCUUUUUCUAGUAUCAUGGAAUCCUUGAAGCCUCUAAUCAAGACUCAGUCACCUCAACCGUUACAUUCUGAUAUGUCUAGUAUCCAAUAGCCAGAUGAUUGCAUAUUCCUAAGAGAGAUGUGUAUUGUAUCUAUUCUACUUGUCAAAAAGGGUCCCCUUCAAAUUUUGCCUGUCAGAGGAUCAGUGCCAAUGAAGCUGUUGCCAGUUUUCAUUGCAUCACUGCCAACACGAUCGAUCUAAUCAGCUAUAGAUAUUUUUCAGUAAAUUGAAGUUCCAUUCGCGUUUAUAUGUAUAUUUUGUUUAACCUAGAGUGAUAUCAGCAUGGAACUUGUAUAUUGCCAGCAUGGAACUUGUAUAUCUACAAAAAGCAUUCUUGCUUAUGAGAUUUGGAAGA